rnacentral:rRNA from 1 species
UACGUAGGGGGCAAGCGUUGUCCGGAUUUAUUGGGCGUAAAGAGCGUGUAGGCGGCCUGACAGGUCUGCUGUGAAAACUCGAGGCUCAACCUCGAGAUGUCGGCGGAAACCGUCUGGCUAGGAGUCCGGAAGAGGAGAGUGGAAUUCCUGGUGUAAGCGGUGAAAUGCGCAGAUAUCAGGAGGAACACCAAUGGCGAAGGCAGCACUCGUGGACGUGACUGACGCGAGACGACGAAGCGUGGGGAGCAAACAGG